rnacentral:rRNA from 1 species
CCUACGGGAGGCAGCAGUAGGGAAUAUUGGGCAAUGGUCGCAAGACUGACCCAGCCAUGCCGCGUGCAGGAAGACGGCCCUCUGGGUUGUAAACUGCUUUUAUCUGGGAAGAAAAAGUCCAUGCGUGGAAAAUUGCCGGUACCAGAUGAAUAAGCACCGGCUAACUCCGUGCCAGCAGCCGCGGUAAUACGGAGGGUGCAAGCGUUGUCCGGAUUUAUUGGGUUUAAAGGGUGCGUAGGCGGCUGAAUAAGUCAGCGGUGAAAGACUUCGGCUUAACCGGAGCAGUGCCGUUGAUACUGUUUAGCUUGAGUGUUGGAGGGGUACAUGGAGUUGAUGGUGUAGCGGUGAAAUGCAUAGAUACCAUCAGGAGCACCGAUAGCGAAGGCAUUGUACUGGCCAACAACUGACGCUGAGGCACGAAAGUGUGGGGAUCGAACAGGAUUAGAUACCCUGGUAGUCCACACUGUAAACGAUGAUUACUCGCUGUUAUGGUGAAUGCUGUAGCGGCCAAGCGAAAGCGUUAAGUAAUCCACCUGGGGAGUACGCCGGCAACGGUGAAACUCAAAUGAAUUGACGG